rnacentral:rRNA from 1 species
UUAAAUUGAAGAGUUUGAUCAUGGCUCAGAUUGAACGCUGGCGGCAGGCCUAACACAUGCAAGUCGAACGGUAACAGGAAACAGCUUGCUAUUU